rfam:Hordeum vulgare subsp. vulgare, WGS project CAJW01000000 data, contig: morex_contig_1565904
UACAUAUUUCCCUUCGUCCGAAAUUACUUGUCGCACAAAUAGAUAAAAAUGGAUGUAUCUAAAGCUAAAAUACAUAUAGAUACAUCCAUCCCUAUGACAAGUAUUUUCGGACGAAGGGAGUACAUG